rnacentral:rRNA from 1 species
UACGUAGGGGCCAAGCGUUGUCCGGAUUUAUUGGGCGUAAAGAGCUCGUAGGCGGUUCAGCAAGUCGGGUGUGAAAACUCUGGCUCAACCCAGAGACGCCACCCGAUACUGCUGUGACUAGAGUCCGGUGAGGGGAGGUGGGGAAUUCCUGGUGUAGCGGUGAAAUGCACAGAUAUCAGGAGGAACACCGAUGGCGAAGGCAGCUUGCUGGGACGGUACUGACGCUGAGACGCGAAAGCGUGGGGAGCAAACAGG